rnacentral:rRNA from 1 species
CUAGGAUUCUAACCCUACACCGUUAUCCGGUUAANGGACAGUUUCANGUGGUCAGUUUGACUGGGGCGGUCGCCUCCCAAAAGGUAACGGAGGCGUGCAAAGGUUUCCUCAGGCUGGUCGGAAGUCAGUCGUAGAGUGUAAAGGCAUAAGGAAGCUUGAUUGUGAGACCUACAAGUCGAACAAAGACGAAAGUCGGCCUUAGUGAUCCGACGGUUCCGAGUGGAAGGGCCGUCGCUCAACAGAUAAAAGUCACUCUAGGGAUAACA